rnacentral:rRNA from 1 species
UACGUAGGUGGCAAGCGUUGUCCGGAUUUAUUGGGUUUAAAGGGUGCGUAGGCGGCCUUAUAAGUCAGUGCUGAAAUAUCCCGGCUUAACCGGGAGGGUGGCAUUGAUACUGUAGGGCUUGAGUAAAGUUGAGGUAGGCGGAAUUGACGGUGUAGCGGUGAAAUGCUUAGAUAUCGUCAAGAACACCGAUAGUGUAGACAGCUUACUAAGCUUUAACUGACGCUGAGGCACAAAAGUGUGGGGAUCAAACAGG